rnacentral:rRNA from 1 species
GACGAACGCUGGCGGUGUGCUUAAUACAUGCAAGUCGAACGAUAAGGUCUCUUCGGAGAUACAUAAGUGGCGGACGGGUGAGUAACACGUAGGUAAUCUGCCUUAAGGUGGGGGACAACGUUGGGAAACUGACGCUAAUACCCCAUAUGUGGCGAGUUGAAAUACUCGUUAUGAAAGUUCCGGCGCCUUAAGAUGAGCCUGCGGCUGAUUAGUUAGUUGGUGAGGUAAUGGCUUACCAAGACUAUGAUCAGUAGCUGGUCUGAGAGGAUGAUCAGCCACAAUGGGACUGAGACACGGCCCAUACUCCUACGGGAGGCAGCAGUAGGGAAUUUUGCGCAAUGGGCGAAAGCCUGACGCAGCAACACCGCGUGAGUGAUGAAGCAUCUUGGUGUGUAAAACUCUGUCAGAGGGGACGAAUUUUGACGGUACCCUCAAAGGAAGCAUCGGCUAACUACGUGCCAGCAGCCGCGGUAAGACGUAGGAUGCAAGCGUUGUCCGGAAUUAUUGGGCGUAAAGAGUUCGUAGGCGGCAUGUAAAGUCUGGUGUUAAAGCCCGGAGCUCAACUCCGGUUAGGCAUUGGAUACUCACAAGCUAGAGUACAGAAGAGGCAAAGGGAAUUCCUAGUGUAGCGGUGAAAUGCGUAGAUAUUAGGAGGAACACCGGUGGCGUAAGCGCUUUGCUGGGCUGUAACUGACGCUGAGGAACGAAAGCCAGGGGAGCAAAUGGGAUUAGAUACCCCAGUAGUCCUGGCCGUAAACGAUGGAUACUAGGUGUUGCGGGUAUCGACCCCCGCAGUGCUGCAGCUAACGCAAUAAGUAUCCCGCCUGGGGAGUACGCACGCAAGUGUG